CCCGUACGCUUUUUUGGAGUGAAAUGCCCCUCGGAACGCACUUGCAGGGUUUGGUUUAAAUUGCUUCUAGUUAAUACUUACCACAAUUGGAAGUAAAAUUUAUGUUUCUCGUAUUUAAAUUAAAAUAACUUGUUAUCGCAGAAUAUAUUUAGUUGAAAUUCAUCAGCAGGUCCACUUACCAAUAUCAAUAUCAUGACGUUUGCGAUCUGGUGAAAUUAAAAAAACACAAUAGCAUUAUAUUAUAACAAAUUAAAUUCUUCUACUUUUAAUUGGGC